ACACAGCAGCCUGCAAUUACUGCAGGUUCAAGCCCGGCCCAAGGUUGACUCAGCCUUCCAUCCUUUAUAAGGUAGGUAAAAUGAGGACCCAGAUUGUUGGGGGGGCAAUAAGUUGACUUUGUAAAUAUACAAAUAGAAUGAGACUAUUGCCUUAUACACUGUAAGCCGCCCUGAGUCUUCGGAGAAGGGCGGGAUAUAAAUGUAAAUAAAUAAAAUAAAAUAAAUAAAUAGAUGAUAGGUAGGUUGAUAGAUAGAUAGAUAGAUAGAUAAGUAGCUAGGUAGAUGGUAGGUAGGUAGGUAGGUAGAUAGAGUAGCUAGGUAAUAGCCGUAAUAGCUCAGGCUGUAAGUAGCCUGUUAUUAGCAGCAGCCUGCAAUUAUUGCAGGUUCAAGCCCGGCCCAAGGUUGACUCAGCCUUCCAUCCUUUAUAA